rnacentral:piRNA from 1 species
UGUUAGUGUGGGAGACUAGGGCUGGC